rnacentral:tmRNA from 1 species
CCCCUUGCCGGACGCGCCGCGCAUCACUACAUUUCUCCUGCCGGUACGCCGGCUAUGGACAUAAACGCGCACGUAAUAAGCGGAUCGGACCCGGGGGCGGUACCCGGCGGCUCCACCAAAUACCCGGUCGUUGGCGGGGCAUGGGGCCGAAACAGGAUCGACGAACGUGUAAAGGUGUGGCUUUGUCCCGGUGAGGUACCACCGUUAUCGGUCCGUCAAAGCAUAAUUGCCAACGACAAUCGUGCUCCGGUCGCCGUUGCCGCCUAAGCGGUAACGAGACCGAAAUCUUGAAGCCCAGUCCUCUAGCCAGGGCUGGCGGGGUUCGCAGGCACCUGGCAACAGAAGCCUGCAUC